rnacentral:rRNA from 1 species
UACGGAGGAGGCAAGCGUUAUCCGGAAUUAUUGGGCGUAAAGCGUCCGUAGGUGGUUUAGUAAGUCUGCUGUUAAAGCGCGGGGCUUAACUCCGUAUCGGCAGUGGAAACUACUAGACUAGAGUGUGGUAGGGGUAGAGGGAAUUCCCAGUGUAGCGGUGAAAUGCGUAGAUAUUGGGAAGAACACCGGUGGCGAAGGCGGCUCACUGGUCCGGUACUGACGCUGAGGUGCGAAAGCGUGGGGAGCAAACAGG